rnacentral:rRNA from 1 species
GUGCCAGCCGCCGCGGUAAUACCAGCUCUCCGAGUGGUGGGGAUGAUUAUUGGGCCUAAAGCAUCCGUAGCCGGCUGGACAAGUCCCCUGUUAAAUCCAACGAUCCAAUCGUUGGUCUGCGGGGGAUACUGUCCGGCUUGGGGGCGGGAGAGGCCGCCGGUAUUUCCGGGGUAGGGGUGAAAUCCUAUAAUCCCGGGAGGACCACCAGUGGCGAAGGCUGUCGGCUAGAACGCGCCCGACGGUGAGGGAUGAAAGCUGGGGGAGCGAACCGGAUUAGAUACCCGGGUAGUCCCAGCUGUAAACGAUGCAGGCUAGGUGUUAGGGCGGCUACGUGCCGCUCUAGUGCCGCAGGGAAGCCGUUAAGCCUGCCGCCUGGGGAGUACGGUCGCAAGGCUGAAACUCAAAUGAAUUGACGGGG